UGUCGGGAUGAUCAAAAUGAUAUAUAGUUGGUAUAAUAGGAGAUAAUGAGAUGGGAUUAUAGUGUUGUUCAAUAAGAAUUAGGAGAUAGUGAUAUGGAAUUAGUGUUGUUUAAUGGUAAUUAUUCUUGGCUCAAAUAUUGGGAAGAAUUUGAAGUAUAUUGGCUUUACUCUGUAUGUAAGAUUGGAAUAAGCGAUGAUUACUGGUUAUCAUUUAGGGUGCGUUUGGUUCGAGUUAUCCUGGCAGGAUUACAGGCAAUCCUGUCAGGAUAACUGUGUUUGGUUAAUCCGCUAUAUAAUCUAGUCGUUAAUGUAACAUUACAAAUCGAGCAGGAUUACAUCGAAAAUAUUAACGGGAGGGGGGUCGUGUAUCUUGCAUUACUGAAACCCGUUAAUACUACAUAUUAUGUAAAAUGACAAAUUUACCCUCCAACAACCCAAAAUCUAAUUAACAGCAUUAUUUUCAUCUCUCUCUCGCCGUCCCCUGGCCCUCUCUCUCGCACGCCGCUUUCUCUCGCUCUCUCUCGACGUCUCUCUCUCUCUCUCUCUCUCUCGCACGAACACCUAUCAUCUUCUAUUGCGUCGUCCUCCCAAGUAAUCAUCACGAUCUCCUUCCCUCUAUUCGUCAUUUCCGUAAAAAAUAAUAUUCAAAUGACCACAACAAGGAUAAUUUUGGAAAAAACUAUACUUUUAUGUCAGAAUUACUAAAUUUUAUAAACUGAACAAAACAUAUUAAUGCUAUAAAUACUGUAAUCUAGUAUUAUAUUACUAUAUUAAACCAAACGCUCUAAUGCAACAUUAAUAGUAAUCUCACGCCGAAAUCCAAAAUACCUGGAUACAUCGAGAUACUUUGUAAUAUUACAUAUAUAACUCGAACCAAACGGGCCCUUCAGGAUUUAAUAUUUAAUUAUGUUGUUCAAAUUAAAUUUAAUUAUAAUUUUUAGGAUUUAAUCAUAUCAUUUAAGGGUUAAUAAUAAUAUUGUCAUCUCAUGAACAAUUUUAGCUUAGUGGCUAGUGCAGGAUUUUUGGACAGUCCCUUUAAAUUUAAUUAUAAUUAUGCUGUCCAAAAAUCCAACUACAAGCAACCAAAUGGUCCCUUUAUGCUUUUAGCUUAUUGGCUUAUGUCAUUCUUAUCAAC
rnacentral:lncRNA from 1 species